rnacentral:rRNA from 1 species
CCUACGGGAGGCAGCAGUGGGGAAUAUUGCACAAUGGGGGAAACCCUGAUGCAGCAACGCCGCGUGAGUGAUGACGGCCUUCGGGUUGUAAAGCUCUGUCUUCAGGGACGAUAAUGACGGUAUCUGUGGUGGAUACCACGGCUAACUACGGGCCAGCAGCCGCGGUAAUACGUAGGGGGCGAGCGUUGUCCGGAUUUACUGGGCGUAAAGGGGGCGUAGGCGGGCUUUUAAGUGAGAUGUGAAAUACUCGGGCUCAACUUGAGUGCUGCAUUUGAAACUGGAAGUCUAGAGUGCAGGAGAGGAGAAUGGAAUUCCUAGUGUAGCGGUGAAAUGCGUAGAGAUUAGGAAGAACACCAGUGGCGAAGGCGAUUCUCUGGACUGUAACUGACGCUGAGGCUCGAAAGCGUGGGGAGCAAACAGGAUUAGAUACCCUGGUAGUC